UUCGACUUCCUCUCUUAUUUUUACACCAGUAUCAAACACUAGAAAUGACUAGCACUCAAGAUUUGUUAGAUUCAAUAUACGACAAAUACUCCUUAUGUAAUUUUUCUUGUUGAGCGUAUUCUUUUUGCAAUUUUUUCUUACGGCUUUUGGGAACGUCUAUUUCCGAGCCGUCUUCGCCGCGCAUUUUUGUAGGUAAACCCGCUUCAUCGAAUGAAAGGUAUUCUUUGAACAUUUUAAACAUCUCUGAUGGUGAUGUCUUUCCCUUCAUAACACGUUCCACUUGCUUCUUUUCCUGUUCGGCUUUUGCUUGUGCUUUCUUAGCUUGCUUAGCUCUCUCCUCUUCAAGCUUUUGCUCCCUAGCAGCAAUUAACUCUUCAGCAUCAACAAGUUUGACAAGUGCAGAACCUUGGGGACGAUCAUUAAAACUAACACCAAGUGCAGCCAUAUCAUAGUCUCUAAAUAUAUCACAAGCUUUGAGAAUCUCCUGAGAAGAAGCUUUAGCAAUGCAAAGCUCCCUUACACGAUCGCGGAAUGAAGAUACAGCCCUAAUGUAUGGCAUGGCAUCAGUGUUCUCCGAAGAACUUCCUUUCGAUGAUGACCAUCCAACAGCGUUGGGGUGGCCGUUUUCAUCGAGGCCAAAAAUUUGGAGCAUCGAAGUG